rnacentral:rRNA from 1 species
UACAGAGGUCUCAAGCGUUGUCCGGAUUUACUGGGCGUAAAGGGCGUGCAGGCGGUUUGUUAAGUGCAGGGUGAAAGCUCCCGGCUCAACUGGGAGAGGUCCUUGCAUACUGGCAAACUCGAGGGAGGCAGAGGAAAGUGGAAUUCCCGGUGUAGUGGUGAUAUGCGUAGAUAUCGGGAGGAACACCUGUGGCGAAGGCGGCUUCUGGGCCUUACCUGACGCUG